rnacentral:rRNA from 1 species
GAUGAACGCUGGCGGCGUGCCUAAUACAUGCAAGUCGAGCGAACAGAUAAGGAGCUUGCUCCUUUGACGUUAGCGGCGGACGGGUGAGUAACACGUGGGUAACCUACCUAUAAGACUGGGGUAACUUCGGGAAACCGGAGCUAAUACCGGAUAACAUUUGGAACCGCAUGGUUCUAAAGUGAAAGAUGGUUUUGCUAUCACUUAUAGAUGGACCCGCGCCGUAUUAGCUAGUUGGUAAGGUAACGGCUUACCAAGGCAACGAUACGUAGCCGACCUGAGAGGGUGAUCGGCCACACUGGAACUGAGACACGGUCCAGACUCCUACGGGAGGCAGCAGUAGGGAAUCUUCCGCAAUGGGCGAAAGCCUGACGGAGCAACGCCGCGUGAGUGAUGAAGGGUUUCGGCUCGUAAAACUCUGUUAUUAGGGAAGAACAAACGUGUAAGUAACUGUGCACGUCUUGACGGUACCUAAUCAGAAAGCCACGGCUAACUACGUG